ensembl:lncRNA
CUUCCACAUACAGUCAUGGUUCACGGAACCAAAUUUCCCCCCCUGAAUAAGUAAAUACCCAAUGACAAUAUAAAUAUAAAAUGACGAUCUGAACACUCUUAUAAGAUCUGAGACACGUCUCAGGUCUGACGGGAUCUGUAAGAUGGUGCGAGUGUCCAUCUGAUGAGUUUUAGUGUAUUAAUGAGGAAUCAAACACACCUGAUGUCUCUGGGUCGCGUCCCAUUUUGCCAGGGUUUUCUAAUCUUACUCCUGGCCUUGUUCACGCCAAGGUUAUUAAUGACAGGACUGUUUUAAUACACGUCUGAGAGAGCCUUGAAAGUUAAAGUAGCGGGAGAAAUUCAGGUCUGCUCCUGACUUCUACUUUCUAGUUAAUCUAAAUGUCCUCAUAUUACAAUAUUAUUAAAAAGAAAUACAUUAACCUGCUGGUGCAACUGAACGGGGGGGGGGGGGGUCGCAGUCAUGGCCACGUUUGAUUCUCUCGUUCCGUCGCGUUACAGAGUCAUGGCCGCGUUUGAUUCUCUCGUUCCGUCGCGUUACAGAGUCAUGGCCGCGUUUGAUUCUCUCGUUCCGUCGCAUUAGAGUCAUGGCCACGUUUAAUUCUCUCGUUUUCUCAUGUAAUGUCCACGUGUAAUCAUCGUGUUAUUGAUUCACGGCUUCACUUAAUUAUCUUGUUCCCACAUGUUAUUCCUUUUGGCUACACGUGCAUAAUUAUCCCAUUUGCUUGCAUUACUAAGCAGUGUCCACAUUUAAUUACAGCUCGUUCUCAUGCGUUAAGUUGUGGUUACACUUACGUAGAUCAUCUCGUUCCCCCGUGUUAUUAAGUCAUGAUUCCUGUUCACACUUCUUUACUAAGUCAUGGCCAUGCAUUAGUUUUUAUUAAAGUAGGGAUGUUACCUGUAGGGGUCUGUAGAAAUAAGACUCGGGGACAGACUGUAAUUGUUUGUUUUUUUUGACUAUACCGUAACAGAAUUUACAUUUUGAAAAUUUAAACAUGAAAUGUUACAGGAGACCACCCAAUUGUAUGCCAAGUCUAUACAGACAGGACACGUCCUAAAAUCCCCAAACUAUAUGUCUAUAUGUCUAAACUGGGCAUGGAGGAAUAAUUCAGUUAUACAGUAGAUUGCAGUAUGUUGAGCACACACACACACUGCACUGUAUCAUGGAUGUUUAAAAGUAACGUCACGUCCUCUGGCAUUUCAUUUAUCUGCAUUUAGCGCGCUGCCUGGCUCGAGAGCACCCUAGAUCCAGCCAGUUACAUCCUGCAGCAUAAUGACAGCAGUCUUCUACUGUUUUUCAUCUGAUUGAUUAAUGAAUUCAUUAUUUUCCAACGCUAAACAGGGACGAAGUGAGCAUGCAGGGCGGACAGCGGUUUGGGACGAGGCCACAGAGGCGGCGUAUCUGCACCAUCGGCGAGAUGAAAUGAACUUUAGCAGGAAAUCGAUCUUAAAGUGAACUGAACGGUUCAUGACCUCGAUCAUACGCACAAAAAGACUACAACUACAAAAAAAAAAUAAUAAUAAUAAUUAAAAAAAUAAUAAUAAUAAUAAUACUACAUUGCAAAUUCAUACAAACGACAGGAGACUGGGCUGUGUCCCAAUCUAACACAGUGCAUCCUAAAUCAAACCCAUGACACUGAUAUACACACUGAUACAUACACAGUAGUGCACUUGUGUAAAAUAUCAAGUAUGAUCAUGCAUAAAAAUGUUUACGAUAAAGAAACACAAAAAGAGCUUAUCUGUUAGAUCUUGUUUUUGCUGUGUGUUUCUCUUUCAAGGUGUCCAGUAUAUACAGGAGCAACCCCACACACACACACACACACACACACACACAAUCUCUCUCAUGUGGAAGACCAUUUACAUUCUUAAAUGCUUACAAAAAUGCUACACUUUUCACACUGUAGAUGUGAUGGUGUGCCGCGAGAAAUGAAAUCAUUCUAAUGUUAAUGUCACCAUGUGUCUAAGACCGAGUACGAUGUACGCUGCCAGUCAAAUGGGUUUUUUUUUUUAAAACAUGUGAAGGUUUGGCUAUUGGCUAUUGGCUAUUAAAUAAGAGAGAUGUAGUUUCCUUUUGUAUUUAAAUCUGUCUUUAAGGACUGUCAUUGUCCACGCUCAGACAAGUUGAGAUUUGUCUCCGUUGAACAGUGGACUAGUUCAACACACAGACUUCAUGUACGAACCGUAAUGAACUUUCUUUUACUUUCACGCUCUCCGUCGUUACCCAGAUGAGGACGGGUUCCCUUCCGAGUCUGGUUCCUCUCAAGGUUUCUUCCUCUUAACAUCUUAGGGAAUUUUUCCUCACCACCGUCUCGCUCAAUAAGGAUAAAUUCACACACUUUAAAUCUCUAUCCUGUGUUGAUAUGUUUCUGUAAAGCUGCUAUACAAAUCAAAUUGAACUGAAAUGAAGUCUUACGGCUGAUAUUAGACAGUAUCGAACCAUAGGACUGUCGGAAUCGUGUCCGCUCUCCGGUCCCGUGGCUGCGGCCCUAAUCGACCGUAACGCGAACGUGUCUUGUGCUAUGAGCGUCUCCGGAUCAGCCUUUUCCGGAUAAAUCUAGAUUUCGUUUCCGAAUAAGAAAAUAAAAGGUCACAUUUCUUACUUAGGUUUUCUGAUUGUAUGCUACGUUUAACUAAAAAUGUUAAUACAGGGUGCUCAAAAACGUUUAACUGGCAGUGUGACGUAUGUGGAACAUUUCUCACCAACCCUAUUCCCAGCAUGUUUUAGAGCAGAGCUGUGAAACGUCCGAGCUUGUCUCUUUUAUUCCACUAGGGGGCAAAAUAGAGCAAUAAACACAGGGCUGUGUAAUAAUGUUUCAUUAGCAUAAAAACAAAGCCCUGACUCUGUAACCAUGAGUGCGUCUCAAUCAGCUCCCUGGGUGGUGAAUCAGUACAUCGUGUACACGGGUUCGAGCGGCAGUAAGGACACGGUCUCACUGCACAUCGUUACACCGAUGACUCGCCGAUUUCCGGGGACGUGACUACAUCCUCGCGUUGUAAACCGUCAGCACUUCCUGACAUUAUACAUCAUAUAAAUGUUAGCUUAAAAUCACACGCGAUUCUCUCAUGCUGCAUCGCUAACUGUAAUCGUAAAGAGCUGGGAUUCCCAUCCCUGCUUGAAAUGUUCCCUAAAUGAUUCAAGGAAACUUGUGAAAUGGUUUCCCACGUCCUGGUUAAGGUCACAGGGUCACCCGAGGUCACCUGUAAUCACCUUCGGAUAGACCGAACAUCCGUCUUUAUAAUGAAAUGAACAAACACUGUAUGUAUUCAUUUUCUAUUACAGCAGCUCUGACAGUAGUUCCCACUGUAAGCCAGGCUCACGUGUACGGCGACAAAGUGACCAGAGACCUUUCGUUUUCUACUAGCGACUUCCGGUGACCGUAGGCGACUAGAUGUGGGCGUGUCCAGUGACGCGACAAAGUGGAGAAAAGUUU